CCGUCGAGAGAUAUCGGAAGAGUUUUCUUUUCUGUUUUAUAGCCGUACUACCAUGGAAGUCUUUCGCAGAGAGAUAUGGUAGAUGGGCUAGAAGAGCAUGACAUAUACUGUUGUGUCGAUAUUUUCUCCUCGGACCUUGAAAAUUUAUGGUGGGGACACGCAAACUUCUCAACAGGCCGUACCAAUAUCCGCAGCUGGUCUCCAAGGUGAAGAGUCUCUAGUCGAUAGAAUAAUGUAGGUAAGGGAAGUCGGCAAAUUAGAUCCGUAACUUCGGGAUAAGGAUUGGCUCUGAAGAUUGAGAUAGUCGGGCUUGAUUGGGAAACAAUAACAUGGUUUAUGUGCUCGUUCUGGGUAAAUAGAGUUUCUAGCAUUUAUGUUAGUUACUUGUUCCCCGGAUAGUUUAGUUACGUAGCCAAUUGUGGAACUUUCUUGCUAAAAUUUUUAAGAAUACUAUUUGGGUUAAACCAAUUAGUUCUUAUUAAUUAUAACGAUUAUCAAUUAACAAUCAAUUCAGAACUGGCACGGACUUGGGGAAUCCGACUGUCUAAUUAAAACAAAGCAUUGUGAUGGCCCUAGCGGGUGUUGACACAAUGUGAUUUCUGCCCAGUGCUCUGAAUGUCAAAGUGAAGAAAUUCAAGUAAGCGCGGGUCAACGGCGGGAGUAACUAUGACUCUCUUAAGGUAGCCAAAUGCCUCGUCAUCUAAUUAGUGACGCGCAUGAAUGGAUUAACGAGAUUCCUACUGUCCCUAUCUACUAUCUAGCGAAACCACAGCCAAGGGAACGGGCUUGGAAUAAUUAGCGGGGAAAGAAGACCCUUUUGAGCUUGACUCUAAUCUGGCAGUGUAAGGAGACAUAAGAGGUGUAGAAUAAGUGGGAGAUAUUAGACCUCGGUUUGGUAUCGUCAAUGAAAUACCACUACUCUUAUUGUUUCCUUACUUACUUGAUUAAAUGGAACGUGUAUCAUUUCCUAGCCAUUAUACGGAUAUAUUUAUUAUAUCUUAUGGUAUUGGGUUUUGAUGCAAGCUUCUUGAUCAAAGUAUCACGAGUUUGUUAUAUAAUCGCAAACAAAUUCUUUAAUAAAACGAUGCAUUUAUGUAUUUUUGAUUUGAAAAUUUGGUAUAACUCCAAUUACUCAGGUAUGAUCCAAUUCAAGGACAUUGCCAGGUAGGGAGUUUGACUGGGGCGGUACAUCUCUCAAAUAAUAACGGAGGUGUCCCAAGGCCAGCUCAGUGCGGACAGAAACCACACAUAGAGCAAAAGGGCAAAUGCUGACUUGAUCUCGGUGUUCAGUACACACAGGGACAGCAAAAGCUCGGCCUAUCGAUCCUUUUGGUUUAAAGAGUUUUUAACAAGAGGUGUCAGAAAAGUUACCAUAGGGAUAACUGGCUUGUGGCGGCCAAGCGUUCAUAGCGACGUCGCUUUUUGAUCCUUCGAUGUCGGCUCUUCCUAUCAUUGUGAAGCAAAAUUCACCAAGCGUUGGAUUGUUCACCCAUGCAAGGGAACGUGAGCUGGGUUUAGACCGUCGUGAGACAGGUUAGUUUUACCCUACUAAUGACAAAACGUUGUUGCGACAGCAUUCCUGCGUAGUACGAGAGGAACCGCAGGUACGGACCAAUGGCACAAUACUUGUUCGAGCGAACAGUGGUAUGACGCUACGUCCGUUGGAUUAUGCCUGAACGCCUCUAAGGUCGUAUCCGUGCUGGACUGCAAUGAUAAAUAAGGGGCAAUUUGCAUUGU
rnacentral:rRNA from 1 species